rnacentral:rRNA from 1 species
GACGAACGCUGGCGGCGUGCCUAAUACAUGCAAGUUGAGCGCUGAAGGUUGGUACUUGUACCAACUGGAUGAGCAGCGAACGGGUGAGUAACGCGUGGGGAAUCUGCCUUUGAGCGGGGGACAACAUUUGGAAACGAAUGCUAAUACCGCAUAAAAACUUUAAACACAAGUUUUAAGUUUGAAAGAUGCAAUUGCAUCACUCAAAGAUGAUCCCGCGUUGUAUUAGCUAGUUGGUGAGGUAAAGGCUCACCAAGGCGAUGAUACAUAGCCGACCUGAGAGGGUGAUCGGCCACAUUGGGACUGAGACACGGCCCAAACUCCUACGGGAGGCAGCAGGAGGGAAUCUUCGGCAAUGGACGAAAGUCUGACCGGGCAACGCCGCGGGAGUGAAUAAGGUUCUCGGAUCGUAAAACUCUGUUGGUAGAGAAGAACGUUGGUGAGAGUGGAAAGCUCAUCAAGUGACGGUAACUACCCAGAAAGGGACGGCUAACUACGUG